CAUGUACUUCCUCUGUCCGAAAAUACUUGUCAAAGAAAUGGAUAUAUCUAGACGUAUUUUAGUUAUAUAUACAUCCAUUUUUAUUCAUUUAUGCGACAAGUAUUUCCGGACGGGGGAUGACAAG
rnacentral:pre_miRNA from 1 species